UACGAGGGGGGCAAGCGUUGUUCGGAAUUAUUGGGCGUAAAGGGCGCGUAGGCGGUUUGACAAGUCUGAUGUGAAAUCUAUGGGCUCAACCCAUAGCCUGCAUUAGAAACUGUCGGGCUUGAGUAUGGGAGAGGUGAGUGGAAUUUCCGGUGUGAGCGGUGAAAUGCGUAGAUAUCGGAAGGAACACCGUGUGGCGAAAGCGGACUCACUGGACCAUAACUGACGCUGAGGCGCGAAAGCUAAGGGGAGCAAACAGGG
rnacentral:rRNA from 1 species